rnacentral:rRNA from 1 species
GAUGUACGCUGGCGGCGUGCCUAAUACAUGCCAGUCGAGCGAACAGACGAGGAGCUUGCUCCUCUGACGUUAGCGGCGGACGGGUGAGUAACACGUGGAUAACCUACCUAUAAGACUGGGAUAACUUCGGGAAACCGGAGCUAAUACCGGAUAAUAUAUUGAACCGCAUGGUUCAAUAGUGAAAGACGGUUUUGCUGUCACUUAUAGAUGGAUCCGCGCCGCAUUAGCUAGUUGGUAAGGUAACGGCUUACCAAGGCAACGAUGCGUAGCCGACCUGAGAGGGUGAUCGGCCACACUGGAACUGAGACACGGUCCAGACUCCUACGGGAGGCAGCAGUAGGGAAUCUUCCGCAAUGGGCGAAAGCUUGACGGAGCAACGCCGCGUGAGUGAUGAAGGUCUUCGGAUCGUAAAACUCUGUUAUUAGGGAAGAACAAAUGUGUAAGUAACUAUGCACGUCUUGACGGUACCUAAUCAGAAAGCCACGGCUAACUACGUG